UUCAUCAAUAACCGUUGGAGGUAGCCGUUGAUGCGUGUAAAACUUCCAAAACGUCAUAUAAAACGAAUAAGCCUAAUGUUUAAAACAGGAAAUUAAAAAAGGUUAUUCUCUGUGUUUUUGUAUUGAUUGGUCGCCGGUCAUACGAGUUCGUUAUUUUAGAAAUUUAAUUUCUGUGAAAACGAUUUAUAUACACGCUGUGGUAGUAAAUAAGCAUGUGAGAAUUUACGGGCAUAUUGUGAAUAAUAGUUUAAAUUAUUUAUAAGUGCCUUAACACGACAUUAUUUGCCUAUUUUAAAUUUAAGUGAUAUAAAAUGGAAGUACAAAGCAUAAUUCACACGAUUUUACUAAUAAAUAUAAGUCGCAAUAACGAAAUUAACACAAUUUAAAUUUAACUGAUGUAAAAUGAAAGUUCAAAGUGUAAUUCACGCGAUUUAAAACAAACAUUAAUGAAUAAAAGUAGGCCGAAAUGAUAUCUCGGCCGAAUCGACCCGACACCAAUAAUUUUAUCGGUGAUAAUGCAGGGUACUUGUCUAAAUAAUUUACGCAUGCCGGGGACGAUCGAGUAACUACGAUCUAAAAAGUUGAUUAAACCGUCAUAGUUCGGCUAUGUCCGUGUUUAUUCGGAAUGUUAACACUUGAAUAUAUUGUUACAUGACUUUAUUAACCCUAUUGGGUAUCGAUAUUUUGCACAUGACACAACUAUUCAGCGUUCUCCUACAUCUUUUUGCGGGGAAAGAAAACGCGAAAACUGAUUAUGGUAAGAGGUGUUGUACCGCUAUGGCUCUGGUUGCAUUAUUAGCCUGUUUUAGUUACGAACACAACCACAUGUCCUCAUUAACGGCUGUCGAUGUAGACUGUAUACUGAAUGAGGGAAAUGCUUUGUAUUCUACCAUAGUUGAAAGUAUAAACGAGGCUCGAUAUUUAUCGCAUAAUGAUUUGCCAACAUCCGUUAGGUUUAGAAAUGAUUUUGUCCGCAAUAUAUGCUUAAUGUUUACUAUGGUAACGUAAACGGUGAUAAUGACGUCCAUUUGGGUCAAUCCCCAUGUUUCAUGAACAUCAAUAGAUAUAUAUUAAUAUUCAAUAAAACCCAUUCAGCCGAGUCUUUGAUGCCUAACAUCAACAUUCGUCUUGUUAUCCCUUGUAUCUAUUCUUAAGUAAACGUGGAAGGAUAAAGUGCGUUGGUAGUGGAUUCGCCGGAUCACUUGCAAAACGCCCAAACCAACAGAAAAACCGGGUGACUGGUUCUUCCCAACAAAUAAAUUAUACAACCCUAUUAACCUUUUAGGCCGACAGAGGCACUCCUACCGUUUACCGCUGCCACCAUUAAAAUAAACUAUAGAGGAAAGUGCCCGGAGUUGGGAUUGAACCCACAACUGCCGAAACACUAGCACAGCGCUCAUACCAACUGAGUUAACAGGGCAGCUGGUUAUUACCCACACACACUACCAUGCAUUAGACAGGUUGUUUCCAAAUUCUAUUUUAACUUGGAAUAUCAAGAUUUUUUUCAGCAAAACGGAAAAGUAGCCUGAUCGUGCUCGGAGUGUUCGAACUAUCCUGUUACCUUGACAACCAGUCAUACCCCCAUGCGAAAAUCGCCCUGUUCAACUACCUACGUAAAGACGACGGAUAUUGACAGAAAUGACGACAGUAUCAGUAUCUAGCAUAGCAAUGUGUACCUGAACAGAAAUAACUAAAUAUUCAAGGAAGCCAACAGAGGACAAACAUCAAUGUUUCACCUUAAAGACCACAGGAACAUUGAAUGAAGAGGAUAAAGGCAAAUAAUGAGGGUUCCAAAAAAAGAAAACGGAGGGAUUUCUUUGAAACAAAAUUAAAUUCGUCGAUGAUGACGAAUGGAUGUGGAUAAUGUUAGGAUUAUCUCAUGCGCGGUUCUGUAAGGCCCGGGGGAUGAUGACGAACCAGCCAGAUAUUAAAUUGGUGUAACGCAACGUCUGAUUCUGGUGUGCCAAUAAGUUUAUCCACGAAGCAGUCAAGCAACGUGAGACGACGACAUGCAGCUAUGAAUCAGAUACUUCAGGUGGAUGAAGAUGUUAGUCACUCCUAGAACUUGCAUAGUGGACUUGCCAGGUAAAUGGGCUUCCUUUUAGACAUCAUCGAAAUGUAAAGGUAAAUGUAACUUGAUAUAAUUCUUUAAGUGCAUAAGGAAAUAAUGGCUGUUAUAUAUUUGACCGAAAUGGCUAUUGCUGCUUUGUAUGCAUUUCACAAAAUCUAAAACUUGUUAUCUACUCUGUCUGGGCAUAAAUGUUACUAAAAUGCUGUCACAACAGUAAGAAAAUGGUGUCAAGUAUCGAUAUGGUUUUAAAGUUGAAUCAAAGACAGGAGCGUUUUGUUUGCAUAAGGCUUAACAUAAGAACGCAAAUUUAAACAUUUAAAGUUACCAGUAUAAAUAUGUAAACUAUCAUAGCCCUUGGAAGUCUGUAAAUUAGUUAAUUUAUUGCGAUCACAUGUUGUGUAUUUGAUUUUUCAUCAGCUGCCAGUUCCUUGUGUUAUUAAAUAGGGACAGUUUACAACUUUAAAUCCCGAUUAGUUUUGGUAUGAGGCGUAUAAUAAAACUGACUAUGACCUCAGGCUAGUGAUACAAGUAAUAUCUGAGAGAAAAUGUAUUAUAAACCUUUCACCAAAGGAUUUGACAUUUGUUUUAUCUGAGUUAAUGUAAUAUUUUCUGAGAUAUUAAACUGAAAGAAACAACACAAAUUGCUUAUCUUAAGUACACUUUAUUUCAAAGCAAUCAUUCAUUUCUUCAUUCUUUUUCCGUUGUUGGGGAUGACACGAGAGUUGCAUAAAACUGUACUCGGUUCGAUUGUCCGACAGAUGUCUGCGUACACAGGACCUAUACAACUUUACAGAACACAUAAUGGUAUUGCUUCUUCGCCGUAUCUGGAAUGGCGUCUAGAUACAUUUUCCCUGUACCCUACGUUCUCUUGUGAAUGCCUAAGUUAUAAACUACGCCGUUUACAAAUACAAGAUGCGGACAAUAAUCUCAAGAUUGACAUUAACAAGCAUGCGUACAACAAUGCCGGUCAUUAUCUUUCUCUAAUAACUGAUGCAUAUAUAUGACAUGGAGAUACGUGCGUCCGUGUCAAAUUACGUUGGUCAUUUGCGGAAAAGGCAAUUGCUAUGGCAUUCUAUCAAUGGACGUUAGUUAGCUCACGACGAAGAGGGGCGAAGGAUCCUUCUCACGUGACAAUCUAUUAUCUAUCGAUAUAACGUUUGGAUUUUGGCCACAUGUAUACGUUCCUACAUGGCAACCUACUUGACAAAACAAAGGUAUAAGGGGAGAAAAGGAUCACGUUACACACAAACGAUAAAGAAAUAUGUUUUGCAAGACAUGAUCAUUUUUGAUAUUUGGUAUUGGUUGUUUCCACAGAGUUGGUAACGGACACAUCGCCACCCACGGAGGGAAAAACAAUGAGCUAGUCGUUUCAAUGUUUGAAAUUACAGGGAAAACAUGCAUGGUUACACCCCGCGUUUUGAAAUGCAGAUGGACCUUGGUUAUUAAGCUGACAUAUACACGAUUCAAAGCAGCAUUUAUUGAGGAGUUGUCAAGGCCAUUGAUGCCACGGGACAUAAAAGUGAUAUUAUGGUAUCACCAGGGGUAAUCAUCGAUCCUCUUCCACCCAAAGGCUACGAUUGUAAUCUAUUGUAACCGAUUUGAACAAGUUAAGGUCAUUGCAUUGUUAGAUAAUUUGAAGGAUAAUCGGACGAAGGCAAUUGUUGCAAGUUAGACAAAGAUGCAUUUGAUAGAAUGAGAGGAUUUAUCGAAAAUACUUUUGUAGACUCAGUUAUUCUUCAAAUCAAUCGUUUCAUGACCAGAGUCCAAACUGCUCUAAAUUAUAAACACAUUACUGCAAAUGAUAAUACUAAUUUCAAAAAAACAUCUUAGAAACAAUUUAUUGACAAAACAAAUGUGCGUCUUUUAUUGUAAACAAGCAAAGCUUUUCGUGUUCAGCAAAUAAGACUGGAUAAAUGUUCACUUGAAGACAGUGGCAACUGCUAGAGGACUUACAUUACACAAUACAGAAACAUCAAACGUACACAUCAGGGCUACAUACAAUGGACAACAUAGCCUCCCUAUUCACCAUCAUCCAUCCUCCUGCCUUGUCAGGGGAAACAUGAGUGCCCGGAGAAAACCCACUUGUGCACUUGUUCGGCUUGGUGACCACUAAACAAAUUCGCCUUGGUGAGAAGCGAGUGCGCUAAACACUGCGCUAACCGGGAAAUCAAACAUGUUCAAAGAUAGCAUUAUAUAAUCAUGGAAUUCCAAUGCUUGCAUCUAGUAACAAACAUUCCAUACACUUCCGGGAAUUCCAGUUUUGCAUAGCCCUGUUGUGGGAUCAAAAAAAGGAUUCACCGAUUCUUGACUUCUACUAUUACACCGCACAUAUGUAUGACAUUUUGGCUCCGUCAUCUACGAUAAUUUCUCCGAAGAUAUCAGAGUUAUUCCUUACUAUAACAUGAUUGUACAUAUCCAGUACGGAUUUAGAGUGCUCACAGGACAAUAUUCACAAUGUAAUAAUUUACUUGUUCUAUGUCUUUGGCGUUUACCCAGUGUCAUUAAACCAGGUUUAUGUUUGAACCUUUUGCUACUGAGCUUGUUUCUAUAGUUUUUGAAAUAGGUAUUGGUAGUGGAAAAGCGUAACUGUUGCAAAUCUGUUGUUGUUUUUAUAGUUCAUUAUUUAGCUUUCAAUAUAUUCAUAGCUGUGCCUUACUGUAGUUUGAUGUUUUAUCUUAAUUUUGUUCUUGAAAUUUAUUUAUUUUUGAUAUCAUGUAUCAUUUAAACGUCAACUGUCGUUCGUGUAUUUGCUGUAUAAUCAUCUAUGCUAGUGUUUAUAGUUCUUUUGGCUUAGAUUUCCAUUGAUUUACUUUUUAUAUGGUCGCGUUGCUGUCUGUUUUUAAACAACGUUGAAACAAGUUUGA